rnacentral:rRNA from 1 species
CAAAAACAUUGCCUCAUGUUCCUCUCAUAUGAGGUACCUCCUGCCCAGUGACGAAUUCAACGGCCGCAGUACCCUGACUGUGCAAAGGUAGCAUAAUCAUUUGCCUUUUAAUUGAAGGCUGGAAUGAACGGACCCACGUAAAUAAAGCUGUCUCUACUGUACCAAUAUAAACUAGACCUUAGGCGAAAUUACCUAAAUUUUAAUAAAGGACAAAAAGACCCUAUAGAGCUGCAUUCGUCAGAAUGGAUAAAAUACCAAAUAUUAUACCUACUCCUAAUGAAUUUUGUUGGGGCGACAAAGGAAUAUUCAAAUCUUCCUUAAUUUCUAAGACUCCCCCGUCUUACCCAAGAUCCUCUUAAGAUCAAAGGAAAAAGCUACCUUAGGGAUAACAGGCUAAUCCUUUUAAAGAGUCCACAUUGACAAAAGGGAUUGGCACCUCGAUGUUGGCUUAAG